rnacentral:rRNA from 1 species
GACGAACCGAGCGAACGUUAUUCGGAAUCACUGGGCUUAAAGGGCGCGUAGGCGGGCCAUCAAGUCAGGGGUGAAAGCCCCCAGCUCAACUGGGGAAGUGCCUUUGAUACUGGUGGUCUCGAGGGGGAUAGGGGCAUGCGGAACUUCCGGUGGAGCGGUGAAAUGCGUAGAUAUCGGAAGGAACGCCGGUGGCGAAAGCGGCGCGCUGGACCCUUACUGACGCUGAUGCGCGAAAGCCAGGGGAGCAAACGGG